rnacentral:lncRNA from 1 species
UUUGGAAAAAAUUGACACACUGCAUAAUGACAUUAACAUUUGUUGUAAUUGAUUAGUUGUCAUCUUGCAUUCAAAUUGUUAAUAUCUUUUUAACUAUGGAAGACUUUUCGACCCGUGAAAAAGUAGAUAUUUAUUUUAUGUAUGGGUUUUGCAAUGGAAACGCACAUGCCGCUGCACGAGUGUAUCGGCGGAGGGUUCCUGCAAGAAGGCUUCCACAUUGGAAAGUUUUUGUUAGAAUUCAUAGAAAUUUACUUGAAUAUGGAUCCUUCGAACGUGCUCGAGGGCAAGGAAGACCAAUUGCAAAUGAUGGUUAUGGGGAAGUACUGAAUUUAAUUGAAGAAAACCCUCAAAUAUCAUUGAGAACCUUAGAAGAGAUUAGCAAUAUCCCAAAGUCAAAUAUUGGAAGAAUGACUAAGAUGUUAGGAUACCAUCCUUUCCAUUAUAAAAGGGUUCAGGAGUUAGAAGAAGAAGAUUUUCCAGCUCGAGUAGACUUUUGUCAUUGGAUUUUAAAUCACCCAAAUCUUCGUCAAAAAAUUUUGUGGUCAGAUGAGGCAACUUUUUCUAGGAAUAAGGGUUUUAACAGCCGUAAUAUUCAUUUUUGGAGUAUCGAGAAUCCGAGAGUAGUUCGACGAACUAACUUUCAGCAUAGAUUUUCCUUUAACGUAUGGGCGGGUUUGAUAGGAGAUAAAUUGAUAGGCCCAAUUAUUUUGCCACACAGGUUAACUGGUCGUCAUUAUUUAAAUUUUCUUCAAAACAAUCUCAGAGAUUUACUGGACGAUGUUCCCAUAGAAACUCGGCUGGAGAUGAUUUUUCAGCACGAUGGGGCACCAGCUCACUACAGCCGACAGGUGAGAAAAUGGCUGGACAAUAAUUUUACAGGCAGAUGGAAGUGGUCCAAUAAACUGGCCUGCACGAUCGCCCGACCUUAAUCCUCUGGAUUAUUAUCUUUGUGGUAAUAUGUGCAAUAUUAUUUAUGCCACCGAAAUUGAUACUCCAGAAGAGCUUCAGAGGCGAAUUCUCGCAGCUGCAGGCCAAAUAAGAGAAAACCGAUUUGAAAUUCUUAGAUCGACCCAUAACAUUCAAAAAAGAUCCAGGUUAUGCAUUCAGGAAAACGGAAACUUGUUUGAACAUUUGCCUCAAAUAAAUUAGUAUAUUUAUC